UACAGAGGGUGCAAGCGUUGUUCGGAAUUAUUGGGCGUAAAGCGCGUGUAGGCGGCUUUGCAAGUCGGGUGUGAAAGCCCUCGGCUCAACCGAGGAAGUGCGCCCGAAACUGCAGAGCUUGAGUACCGGAGAGGAUGGCGGAAUUCCGCAAGUAGAGGUGAAAUUCGUAGAUAUGGGGAGGAACACCGGUGGCGAAGGCGGCCAUCUGGACGGAUACUGACGCUGAGACGCGAAAGCGUGGGGAGCAAACAGG
rnacentral:rRNA from 1 species